rnacentral:rRNA from 1 species
CCCUUAGAUGUCCUGGGCCGCACGCGCGCUACACUGACAUGUUCAACAAGCCUCCUGGUUCGACAGGAUUUGGGAAAUCUUUGAACGCAUGUCGUGAUAGGGAUAGAUCAUUGCAAUUAUUGAUCUUGAACGAGGAAUUCCUAGUAAACGCGAGUCAUCAGCUCGCAUUGAUUACGUCCCUGCCCUUUGUACACACCGCCCGUCGCACCUACCGAUUGAAUGUUUCGGUGAAGAUUCCGGAUAGGACUUUUUUGAUUUAUUUCAAUUUUGUCUUAAAAGCUAUCUAAACCUCAACAUUUAGAGGAAGGUGAAGUCGUAACA